AUUGAACGCUGGCGGCAGGCUUAACACAUGCAAGUCGAGCGGGGUGAUGGUGCUUGCACUAUCACUUAGCGGCGGACGGGUGAGUAAUGCUUAGGAAUCUGCCUAUUAGUGGGGGACAACAUCUCGGAAGGGAUGCUAAUACCGCAUACGUCCUACGGGAGAAAGCAGGGGAUCACUUGUGACCUUGCGCUAAUAGAUGAGCCUAAGUCGGAUUAGCUAGUUGGUGGGGUAAAGGCCUACCAAGGCGACGAUCUGUAGCGGGUCUGAGAGGAUGAUCCGCCACACUGGGACUGAGACACGGCCCAGACUCCUACGGAAGGCAGCAGUGGGGAAUAUUGGACAAUGGGGGGAACCCUGAUCCAGCCAUGCCGCGUGUGUGAAGAAGGCCUUAUGGUUGUAAAGCACUUUAAGCGAGGAGGAGGCUCUUUUGGUUAAUACCCAAGAUGAGUGGACGUUACUCGCAGAAUAAGCACCGGCUAACUCUGUGCCAGCCGCCGCGGUAA
rnacentral:rRNA from 1 species